CGUCAUCACCGGAUAACGGUUCACCCUGUUCUCCUUCAAAGGUAUUAGAUGAGAGUUUCCAGCCUAAUGUUGUUUGAAAGUUUAAAGACAUACAGGAUAUGAGAAGCGAGGAUUGUCAUAAAUUGGAUGUAUUUACUUCGACGAUUCCAAGGGAGCCUUGAAAUUGAAGAAACACAAUUGCUUAAAAAGCGAAAUUAAAUAGAUGGAAACCAUGACAGGAAAAAAAGUUGAGCUAGAAGCUAUGCAGAAAUAUUUUGACACCAACGAAGCUGAGAUGCGAAUAAAUCAGUUUUGUAUGCUACUAUAUAAAUCAUUUUUUGUCAGGUUGGUGACUUCGCGAUAGCAGCUGUAACUGCUAUCCAUGUAAGUAUUAAUCAUCUUCGAGCAAAGCCGACAACUCAGCGUAUUAACUCUCGCAUGCAGCCAAAUGAUGAAGUCUACCAUCUCUUCCAUCUUUGUGAAUCUUCUAUACAAUUUAUCCAAUCACUUUACAAACACAUGUUAUUCCGGGAGCGCCUCGCUGAAAAUAAGGAACUAUGUGGAGCAAGUGCUAUUCUUCAGUUGGUUCAAAACACCUUAAAACUGCCAGAACAUGAUGAUCCACUUCUUGCAAGUGUUGUUGAUAGGCUUAAAUCAAAAGUUUUAUCUAUAGUAAGCCCAAUCAUGUGUAGACAUUAUCUACAUAAGUAAGGGAACGUUUUUUUUAUUUCAAGGUUUA
rnacentral:lncRNA from 1 species